rnacentral:sRNA from 1 species
AGAAAAGAGAACCGAUGUUGUUUGUUUGUACAGUGUCAGUUGUAGAAGAGUGUAAGAGUUCCAUAAAAAUUUGGGAAACAGUAAAAUGUAGUAAGAGGAAAAUAUCAUUGUAUUAUUCAUAUUAGUACUCUCCAGUAUGACUUUCCAAUAUGAUAGAACUGUUCAUAAUCUGUGCUGUCCCAUACAAUAGCCAUUAGCCACAUGAAACUAAUGAGUACUUGAGACAUGGCUACUGUGAAGGAGUGCAAUAUUUCAUUAUAUUUAAAUAUUUUAGUAAUUUUAUUGUCUUUUUUUAAUUAUAGACUAACAGAUGUUAAUUUUGUUCUACUUAAUUUUUGAUUCUUUUUUCUUUUCAGGAAAAUAUAUGCAGAUGAUGAACAUUCUUAAGCCAAUUGCCUUUGAUGUUAUUCAUUUCAUGUCUCAACUAUUUGAUUAUUACUUGUAUGCAAUAUAUACCUUUUUUGGUCGGAAUGAUUCAUUGGAAUCAACAGGACUCGGCCUUAGUAGUAGCAGACUAAGAACAACUCUAAACAGAAUACAAGAAAGCCUUAUUGAUCUAGAAGUUUCAGCUGAUCCUACUGCCACACUCACAGCAGCAGAAGAAAGAAAGGAGAAGGUGCCAAGUCCACACCUCAGUCACCUAGUGGUUUUGACAUCUGGGGAUACGUUGCAUGGGUUGGCAGAAAGAGUGGUAGCCACGGAAUCCUUGGUAUUCUUGGCUGAACAGUUUGAGUUCCUUCAGCCACAUCUGGAUGCUGUGAUGCCUGCAGUCAAAAAGCCCUUUCUUCAGCAGUUC